rnacentral:piRNA from 1 species
AAACUCUAGUGUGGUACCUCUGCAAG